UAUAGCACAGGUGUACAGGAGCAGCUGUUCUCCGGCUGACGAGGCCCCACCCUGACAGCCUGUUGACACAGGAAGUACACCAGCUUCAAGGAAAAAUGCUGUUCCAGUGUGACUUCAAAACCAGCUAAAAGAGAUCCAGGAGAAGCCCUGCCAGAACCAGAGCGACGCUGAGACUCUUUCAUCCCUGUUAACCACAACAUGUUGCACCCAGAGACCCCGAGGUGUGAGUCACCAGACUACAUCAUGUAACAACUGCCAUGUCUGGUGGGAGAGGUUUUAAAGCCGGAUGAUCCUUUAGUGAGUUCAGCCUUUCGAGAUGCUCCUCCUCCUGUC